CUGAGACGUGCAUGCGUGGGGCUGAGAACUCACAGAAGAUGUUUUAAACCACCGCGCUGCUCUGUGCUUCACCAGGACUGAGGAGACAGGAACAUCGUGGGAAUGAGAUCAUGUUACUAUUACCGCAUUUUCUCAGACGGCACAUGGCUUUGAUUGGUCUCCGUACUGAUGAGUUUCGCUUGAUUGAGAUUGUAUCUACCAGGCCGCUUCACCAGAAAGGGCCCCCUUCUUGUUUUGUUUAGAGUCUGCCCACAUUUCUUGGUUCGUGGCCCACUUCCUCUGUCUUCCAAGCCAGCCACCUAGAAUUUCUCUGACUCUUGUUCCAUCGUCACAUCUCUGUCUGAUCACAGCCCAGGAAUUUUCUUCCAAGGACCUACGCAGUGCGAUUGCACCCAC